rnacentral:rRNA from 1 species
CAGUCGCCGCGGUAAUACGUAGGUGACAAGCGUUGUCCGGAGUUAUUGGGCGUAAAGGGCUCGCAGGCGGUUUCUUAAGUCUGAUGUGAAAGCCCCCGGCUCAACCGGGGAGGGUCAUUGGAAACUGGGAAACUUGAGUGCAUAAGAGGAGAGUGGAAUUCCACGUGUAGCGGUGAAAUGCGUAGAGAUGUGGAGGAACACCAGUGGCGAAGGCGACUCUCUGGUCUGUAACUGACGCUGAGGAGCGAAAGCGUGGGGAGCGAACAGGAUUAGAUACCCCUGUAGUCCCUGUCUCUUAUAC